GGGGAUUUGAGAAGAGAAAACACGUGAUUUUCGCGUUAAAUGGGGAAUUCUCGAAGAGAAAACGUGUGAUUUUCGCUUAAAUGGGGGAUUUGAGAAGAGAAAAUGCGUGUUUUUCGCUUAAAUGGGGGAUGCUCGAAGAGAAAAUGCGAGAUUUUCGGGUUAAAUGGGGGAUUUGCAAAGAGAAAACGUCUGUUUUUCGCGAUAAAUGGGGGAUUUGCGAAGAGAAAACGCGUAAUAUUCGCUUAAAUGGGGGAUUCUCGAAGAGAAUACGUGAUUUUCGCUUAAAUGUGGUAUUUCUGAAGAGAAUACGCGUGAUUUUAGGGUUAAAUGGGGGAUUCUCGAAGAGAAAACGCGUGAUUUUUGCAUAACUGGGGGAUUUGCGAAGAGAAAACGUGUGUUUUGCGCUUAACAUGGGGAUUUGCAAAGAGAAAACGCGUCAUUUUCAGGUUAAAUGGGGGAUUUGCGAGUAGAAAACGGGUGAUUUUCGCUUCAAUGGGGGAUUUUUGAAGAGAAAACGCGUGUUUUUCUGGUUAAAUGGAGGUUUCUUGGAGAGAAAACGCAUCAUUUUCGCUUAACUGGGGGAUUCUCGAAGGGAAAACGCGUGAUUUUCUGGUUAAAUGGGGGAUUUGCGAAUAGAAAACGCGUGAUUUUCGCUUAAAUGUGGGAUUUCUAAAGAGAAAACGCGUGAUUUUCGCUUCAAUGGGGGAUUUGAGAAGAGAAAAUGCGUGAUUUUUGCUUAAAUGGGGGAUUUGCGAAUAGAAAACGCGUGAUUUUCGCUUAAAUGUGGGAUUUCUGGAGAGAAAAGCGCGUGAUUUUCGCUUAAAUGGGGGAUUUGCGAGGAGAAAACGCAUCAUUUUCGCAUAAAUGGGGGAUUCUCGAAGAGAAAACGCAUGAUUUUUGCUUAAAUGGGGGAUUUCUAAAGAGAAAAGCGCGUGAUUUUCGCUUCAAUGGGGGAUACUCAAAGAGAAAACGCGUAAUUUUCACUUAAAUGGGGGAUUUCUGAAAAGAAAACACGUGAUUUUCUGGUUAAAUGGAAGAUUCCUGGAGGGAAAAGGAGUGAUUUUUGCUUAAAUGGCGCAUUUGUGAAGAGAAAACACGUGUUUUUUGCUUAAAUGGGGGAUUUGCGAAGAGAAAACGCGUGAUUUUUGCAUAACUGGGGGAUUCUCAAAGAGAAAAUGUGUGAUUUUCUGGUUAAAUGGGGCAUUUGCGAAUAGAAAACGUGAUUUUCGCUUCAAUGGAAGAUUCUCAAAGAUAAAACGCGUGAUUUUUGCUUAAAUGU
ensembl:lncRNA